rnacentral:rRNA from 1 species
AUGGCUGUCGUCAGCUCGUGUCGUGAGAUGUUGGGUUAAGUCCCGCAACGAGCGUAACCCCUAUUGCUAGUUACCAUCGGGUAAUGCCGGGGACUCUAGUGAGACUGCCUGCGCAAGCAGUGAGGAAGGUGGGGAUGACGUCAAGUCAUCAUGGUCCUUACGCCUAGGGCUGCACACGUGCUACAAUGGCUGGUACAACGAGCAGCUACUCUGCGAGGAGAAGCGAAUCUCUGAAAACCAGUCCCAGUUCGGAUUGGAGUCUGCAACUCGACUCCAUGAAGCAGGAAUCGCUAGUAAUCGCGGAUCAGCAAUGCCGCGGUGAAUCUGUUCCCGGGCCUUGUACACACCGCCCGU